AACGAACGCUGGCGGCAGGCCUAACACAUGCAAGUCGAACGGGACCUUCGGGUCUAGUGGCGGACGGGUGAGUAACGCGUGGGAACGUGCCCUUUGGUUAGGAAUAGCCCCGGGAAACUGGGAGUAAUACCGGAUAAGCCCUACGGGGGAAAGAUUUAUCGCCAAAGGAUCGGCCCGGGUUGGAUUAGGUAGUUGGUGGGGUAAUGGCCUACCAAGCCGACGAUCCAUAGCUGGUUGGAGAGGAUGACCAGCCACACUGGGACUGGGACACGGCCCAUGCUCCUACGGGAGGCAGCAGUAGGUAAUCUUAGACAGUGGGGGAAACCCUGAUCUAGCCAUGCCGCGUGAUCGAUGAAGGCCUUAGGGUUGUAAAGAUCUUUCAGUGGGGAAGAUAAUGACUGUACCCACAGAAGAAGCCCCGGCUAACUCCGUGCCAGCCGCCGCAGUAAUAC
rnacentral:rRNA from 1 species